AUUGAACGCUGGCGGCAGGCCUAACACAUGCACGUCGAGCGAGCGGCGGACGGGUGAGUAAUGUAUGGGGACUGCCCGAUCGAGGGGGAUAACUAUUGGAAAAAGUGGCUAAUAUCGCGUAUUGUCGCAUAACCCAGAUGGGGUUAGCUAGUAGGUCAGGUAAUGGCUUACCUAGGCGACGCUCCCUAGCUGGUCUGAGAGGAUGAUCAGCCACACGGGGAAUGAGACACGGCCCAGACUCCUACGGAGGCAGCAGUGGGGAAUAUUGCACAAUGGGCGCAAGCCUGAUGCAGCCAUGCCGCGUGUAUGAAGAAGGCCCUAGGGUUGUAAAGUACUUUCAGUCGGGAGGCGUUACCGACAGAAGAAGCACCGGCUAACUCCGUGCCAGCAGCCGCGGUAAUAC
rnacentral:rRNA from 1 species